rnacentral:lncRNA from 1 species
UUAAUAUAUUUUUAAUUUACCCAACACUUCUAUCCAGUGAUACAACUUGGUAAGCGUUUCGAGCGAGCAUCCGCCGGGUUAGGAAGUCGCGGACUGAGCAGCUUGCAUUUGCCACGACCGUCCUCAACUGUUUUGAAGAUUGUUCCAUCUUAUAACUACCAGUGUGCACAGACUCCUACUCAAGUAACGUCGUGGUCCAGCGAUGCAAAGAACUGAAAUCUCAAGCUGGAAAAGCCUGUAUUGUCUUCAUAAUAGCACAGAAGAAUUGUAGAUAGGAAGGACAGACGGAAACGAAUGAGGACUAUAAAAGAAAAAAAGGAACAUCCAAGAUUGAGAAAAACUGCCAGGACUAAGAAGGUAACCCACAGGAAGCUGUCUUCAGGUCCUGUUUGCCUGCUGUGCUUUCAAGAACCUGGCGAUCCUGAAAAACUAGGAGAAUUUCUUCAGAAAGACAAUCUUUGUGUCCAUUAUUUCUGUCUUAUGCCUAGGAGUGGGGCUGCUGUUUGCAUGUGAGUAGACAUGAGUGUGACGCUGCCAAGCCACACUCCCAUUAGCAGCGCGGGAGAGUUCCAGCUGACAGUUUUUACCAAGUCUUGGUACCGUCCAUCUUUUUCCUUUCAGCCUGCCUACUGGAUAUUACUAACGUCGUAUUGUGCUCUUAAUCUGUACUUGUUUGAGGAGUAAAGAUGUUGAGCUUUUCAUGUUGUGCUUAAUUUUCUAUUUUUAAAUAUUUCACUUAUUUUUCACUGAAUUUGUAUGAAUAUUUUCUUUUGUUAAAAGAAACCAGAUUUUGAUCUGGGCAUUGUGUUGA